AUGAGCGCUAGCGACAGGCCUAACACAUGCAAGUCGAGGGGCAGCACGUCUUCGGAUGGUGGCGACCGGCGCACGGGUGAGUAACGCGUAUGUAACCUGCCUACAACAGGGGGAUAGCUCGCUGAAAAGCGAAUUAAGACCGCAUAAGACCACGCUUUCGCAUGUUAGCGUGGUAAAAUAUUUAUAGGUUGUAGAUGGGCAUGCGUGACAUUAGCUAGUUGGUAAGGUAACGGCUUACCAAGGCAACGAUGUCUAGGGGUUCUGAGAGGAAGGUCCCCCACACUGGUACUGAGACACGGACCAGACUCCUACGGGAGGCAGCAGUGAGGAAUAUUGGUCAAUGGGCGAGAGCCUGAACCAGCCAUGUCGCGUGCAGGAUGACGGCCCUACGGGUUGUAAACUGCUUUUGUACGGGAAGAAAAAACGCCACGUGUGGUGUCUUGCCGGUACCGUACGAAUAAGGAUCGGCUAACUCCGUGCCAGCAGCCGCGGUAAUACGGAGGAUCCGAGCGUUAUCCGGAUUUAUUGGGUUUAAAGGGUGCGUAGGCGGGAGAUUAAGUCAGUGGUGAAAGUUUGCGGCUCAACCGUAAAAUUGCCAUUGAUACUGGUUUUCUUGAGUACAGUUGAGGUAGGCGGAAUGUGGUGUGUAGCGGUGAAAUGCGUAGAUAUAUGGAGGAACACCAGUGGCGAAAGCGGCUCUCUGGUCUGUCACUGACGCUGAGGCUCGAAAGCGUGGGUAGCGAACAGGAUUAGAUACCCUGGUAGUCCACGCAGUAAACGAUGAUCACUCGUUGUUUGCGAUACGUUGCAAGUGACCAAGAGAAAUCGAUAAGUGAUCCACCUGGGGAGUACGGCCGCAAGGCUGAAACUCAAAGGAAUUGACGGGGGCCCGCACAAGCGGAGGAACAUGUGGUUUAAUUCGAUGAUACGCGAGGAACCUUACCUGGGUUUAAAUGGGGAGUGACAGCUGCCGAAAGGUGGUCUUCUUCGGACACUCUUCAAGGUGCUGCAUGGUUGUCGUCAGCUCGUGCCGUGAGGUGUCGGGUUAAGUCCCAUAACGAGCGCAACCCACGUCGUUAGUUGCCAUCAGGUCAUGCUGGGCACUCUAACGAGACUGCCGGUGUAAACCGCGAGGAAGGUGUGGAUGACGUCAAAUCAGCACGGCCCUUACAUCCAGGGCUACACACGUGUUACAAUGGCCGGUACAGAGGGCUGCUACCAUGCGAAUGGAUGCUAAUCCUAAAAACCGGUCCCAGUUCGGAUUGGAGUCUGCAACCCGACUCCAUGAAGCUGGAUUCGCUAGUAAUCGCGCAUCAGCCAUGGCGCGGUGAAUACGUUCCCGGGCCUUGUACACACCGCCCGUCAAGCCAUGGAAGCUGAGGGUACCUAAAGUCUGUCACCGUAAGGAGCGGCCUAGGGUAAAAUUGGUAACUGGGGCU
rnacentral:rRNA from 1 species